GACGUUUUUUACCUCAUUGACCAGGAGAAGAGGGGUGGGACUGAAUUGGAGGACCUCAGUCCUGAAGAAGGGGGUCACCCAGAAAGCUAGGAGGAAACCAGAUGGUCAUGGAAGCCCGGAGCGGAGGCCUUCCGAGCGCAGUGCGCCUGUCAGGUCCUCCUGCCACACUGACGAGUGCGCAGUGAGGGCUCCACCCACGUUAACCAUUGCCCCUGUUGUGGUUACUGUCGGUGGUAACCAGGAAGGGCCGAUGCUGUCUGGGACAAGCUGGGGAAACUCGUGGAGCAUCAUCACAGAGGUUUCCCGCGAGAGUCACUUUCCCGGACCCUUGGAGGAAGUAUCUGUGGUCCCUUCCGUGCGUCGAAUGAAGGGCUGAUUCGCAGAAUAAACUCAGAAAAAACAAGGUCGGAGGAAGUAGUCUGUUCACUGUUCACAUUUCCUUCUGAGGACAGGGCGUGGAGGCAUGAAGGGAGAGGAUGAGAACAGCGAGCCACACCAGCCCGCGUCUUCAUGAAUUUUUUUUUUUUUUUUACAUAAACAAAAGGGUAGAAAUACUGUUUUCAAAAUCCCCUGCCCUAAAGGAGUGAGUAGAGAGAUCUGGUCCUCCAAACCCGGUGAAGAUAGUUCUGCAAUGCUCCUGGAAUAGUCUGUUUUGGCCUUGCAGGGUUGUGCUCUGUUAGAAAUUAAUCUGGCCAAGGGAUGGGGGAAGAAUAAUGCAGAAACAUUCUAGAAAGUUUAUUGACACACUCACCUAUCUCAGCUUACAUCUGUUGAGUUCCUAUAAUUAGCAUUUCGCUGUUAGCCAGAAAUCCUUGAUAAAUGGAUGGAUCUCGGUAGGUCUGGUGUUUGCGCCUGUUACAUUUCAAACUGUUUUUCUUUUGUGCCUUCUCUUCAGAGCUGGUUAAAGACCUCAGAUUUUACUGGUGACGUUAUUCUCAGUUUCCUGUGCAGGGACCUGCGGGGGUUUGCAGAGACACCUGGUGGCCGGCAAAGAGCAGUACCCUGACAUUGUUAGAAAAGAAAGAAUUGGAAUUGUGGCUAAAAUUUGGUUUCUUUUCGUGGUUGAGAACUUCAUUCUUUCUGCCAUUUAUUUUUGUAGGGCUAAAAUUGCAUAUUUAAAAAUAGACAUUGAUUCUUUUCGAUUAUUUUUAUAUCCUCCAGCUUUUCUUUCUUGAGGAAACCGUCGACCAGGUGACCAGCAACAUCUGCUGGGCUAAAUCCAACUGGAGCUAGGACUAGGGCGAGGCCAGCACAAAUUUAAGGAUGUGCCGAGUUCUCAGGGAUGAAUAUAGAUAGUAUUUAGUGCACUAUCUUAAAAAGUCAAAAUUAACAAAAAAGAAGCUAUGAUAAACAAAAACAUCAAAACUGUAAAUACAGGAUCAGUAUUAGUGAUUUUCCCUUUUAUCUCAGGCUCCACUAUGGCUCCAAAAGGCGCUGGAAAGAGCGAAUGUACCCGCUGGCCUAGCUCCGGACCUGGCUCAUUCAUCAUCAGUGGCUGUGUGCCCGCCCCCAGACACGCGCCCACCUACGGUUUCCCUUGCGGCUCCCUGGGCCUCCUCUCAUGUGGAUCGAGUGUAAGGAGCCUAGGUCAAUGGCAAUGAUAAGUGAAAAGACAAAGAGAGAAUGGAACAUUUAAAAGUAGCCUUGAGGGAAAAAUUGGGAAUGAAAUCUCCCUGUUACUCUACUUUUCAGGACUCUCCCUCUGCCUUCCUCCCAAACACGUUGACCAUUCCAAGGGAGCUGUUGUUUGCUAGGCGGACCUGAGCCGAGACUCAGACACCGAGGACAGGUGAGAAUGGGAGAUGGAAGAGCGCGGUGCCCUGUGAGAGAGGCCCUUCUGGCUUCUUUCCUGUUUUAACAACAUCCCUUUACUUCCUGUGUACCAGAACUAGGGCAGGGGAUGGGGGUGGGAUAACUGAGGAUCUGGGACCCCGGGGACAUGCCACUUGUUGCGAGGAGCGGACAUCGGUGGGGGAUAUUGGUAGCUGGUAUAUCCCCAAAGAGCCUGGGAAGGGUAUGAAUUUGGUCUGUGUGGUGCUGUCUCUGACUCUCCCCAUUCCUUUUCAUGAGAUCAGCAGCCUGGAAGUUCAACUACUGUUAACAGGAAAGGGUCCCCUUCCUGCCUCCUCCCUAAGUCUACAGGGAUUGUCUUUCUCCUAACUCAGGUGUUGUCAUCAGAGGGAUGGUGACUGCAAAUAGCAGGAAAAUAUUGUGCAAUCGUAACCACACAAGCUGCUGAGAAAAGAGGAAGUAGUAACAGACUGGGGUGAGAAAGGAUCAGAAGCUCAAGAACAAAGGAAAAUUUCAUCAUGGACAUGGACCGAAGUGUGGGGAUUUCGGGGAGGAGAGCAUGUGCGCUCUGACAAAGCACAGACACCAGAGCCUGCAGAGCCCCGGAUCACUCACCUGGACUCAUUGGAUACCCUGGAUCGCGUGUCAGCUGUUCUCCUGACCCAGAAACAGCAUAUCCUUUGUCACCUGCUCAUGGCUCUUCAUGAACCUGGCUCUUCUGUCGGCACCUCAUGGGUCUGUCUUUACCAACGGAGGUUUUGCUGGCUACUGCAGACCGCGUAGUUCAGCAGGGGCACUGUAUCCAUAUUUAUUGAGAGCCUGCUCUAUGCUAAGUAUGUGCUUAGCAUUUUAAACAUUCUCUUUAAUCCUCACAGUGUCUUUUAAAGUAAAUAUAAUUAACGUUCUUUUUUUACAAAUAAGAAAACUAAAACUUGAAAAAAGUUAAGUGAUUGCUCAAACUCACGUAACUAGUGAGUGGCAGCCCCAGGACUUGAACCUGGACCACAGGACAACUCCCGUGUCUUCAUGCUCUUUCUGUUGCAUUAGGUCAACAGAGACAUAGGAGAUGCCUCCGCACCCUCCUCCUGCAUCCAUGGCAGACGCUGCUAAUUGAUCUUGGUGCUUGUACCUUUUGAGCUAGGACUAUGGAUAAAGCACAGGCUACAUAUAGAGAAGUAGAAACUACGAUCCAUGUUCUCAAGGAAUCUUGCUUUGACAGAGGAGAAAGUGUAUUACAGCAGUAGAUGAGCACUGUAAGGCUAUAAAAAAACACCCCAGUCAUGAGUGCUAAAAAGAUUCUGAUAAGCUUGUAAAUCACUGGAGAUAUAUCUGCCUUCUUUUGUCUGUAAACUGGCCUUUCCCCCACUUUUUGAUUUUUUAGAUUUAUUUUCCUCAUUCUAGAUAUUGCUCAUUUAUUCAAUUGAUGAAUAGUCUUCUCUCUAUGUGAGGGUACAGCAUGGAACAAGGCCAAGUGCCUACUCUCAUGGAACUUGAUUUCUAGUAGGGAGAUUAGACGAGAAGCAAGCAAGGGCACACACAUGCACACACAUCAGCUGGUCGUAAGUGUGGUGGAAAAGUGCAAUAGGGAAGAAGGACAGAGCGGGUGGAGUGUUACUUUACGUAGGGUCAUCAAGGCCGGGCCUUCUGAAAAGGUGGCAUUUGAGGUGAACGGAGAAGGAGGAGACAGGGGAAGCCGACAGGGUAUGGCCAAGGGCCCCCUGGCAAAGGAGACAGAAGGAGCGAAGGCCCUGAGCAGGGUGGUGUAUGCAGUGUGCCUGUGGAAGGGCAAAGAGGCCAGUGUGGCUGGACAGUGUUGGAGCCGGAAAGUCUGCGGCCUUGCAUGUGUGGGUAAGGAUUGGGGUUUUUCUCCGAGGAAGGUGAAAAGCCACUGGAGAGGGCUGAGCAGAGUGGUGACAUGGUCAGACUUGUGCUGUAAAGGGAGCACCUGGCUCUCGUACGGACAUGAGAACGUGGGGCGAAGUCUGGUGUUAGGAGGCAAGCCCGGCAGUGCUGGCGGGAGUUGGCGAUGGCUUGAACCAGGACGACAGUGGUGAGGAGGGGAGAGGUGGCUGGAUUCUGGGAAUGUUGUGAAGGUGGAGCAGCCAGGGUAGUGGGCAGACUGAAUGUAGAGCGUUAUGGGCCGCAUUGCAUCCCCAAAUAUCCGUAUGUUCAAGUCUUAACCCCUGGUACCUCAGAGUGUGAUUUUAUUUGGAGAUACGGGCUGAAAAGAGGUCAUUGAAGUAAAGCAAAGUCAUUGGGGUGUCUCCUAAUCCAGUAUGACGGGUGUCCUCAUCAGAAGAGGAAAUUAGGACACAGACACCCAAGGAGGGAGGGCCGCGUGAAGACGCAGGGAGAAGGAGGCCGUCUGCAAGUCAAGGAUAGAGGCCUUGGAAGAAAGCAACCCUGCCGACACCUGACCUCAGACUUCUAGCCCCUAGGACUUGAGAAAAUACAUUUCUGUUGU